rnacentral:rRNA from 1 species
CUGGCGGCGUGCCUAAUACAUGCAAGUCGAACGGUCUUUCUAUGGAAGCUUGCUUCCACUGAGAAGAUAGUGGCGAACGGGUGAGUAACACGUGGGUAACCUGCCCAUAAGAGGGGGAUAACAUCCGGAAACGGGUGCUAAUACCGCAUAGUUUUCUUGAUCGCAUGAUUGAGAAAGGAAAGACGGCCUUUGUGCUGUCGCUUAUGGAUGGACCCGCGGCGUAUUAGUUAGUUGGUGAGGUAACGGCUCACCAAGACGAUGAUACGUAGCCGACCUGAGAGGGUGAUCGGCCACAUUGGGACUGAGACACGGCCCAAACUCCUACGGGAGGCAGCAGUAGGGAAUCUUCCGCAAUGGACGAAAGUCUGACGGAGCAACGCCGCGUGAGUGAAGAAAAGGUUUUCGGAUCGUAAAACUCUGUUGUCAGAGAAGAACAAGUUGGAGAGUAACUGCUCCAGCCUUGACGGUAUCUGACCAGAAAGCCACGGCUAACUACGUGCCAGCCGCAGC